ensembl:lncRNA
AUUUAUUUAAACAUUUGUUCAUUUGUGCAUUUUUAUUUAUGCAUUUGCUUAUUUUGCAUUAGUUUACAGUAUAUACGCAUUUGUUUUUUUUAUGCAGUUGUUUAUGCAUUCAAUUAAACUUUACUUUUUUGGUUGGUGGUUUGUUUUUUCAUUUGUUUUUCAUAAAUUUGUUUAUUAAUUUAUUUAAUGCAUUUAUUUUUUAAACAUUUAUUUAUUUGUGCAUUUGUUUAUUUAUUCUUGCAUUUGAUCAUUUAUUCAUGUGUUUGUUUCAUUUCAAUUUAUUUAUUUAUUUAUUUAUUAGUGAUCUUAUUUUGUAAAUAGCCAUUUCUUAUGGCUAUUGACACUCAGACAUCAUGUACAGCACAUGCACUUUGUGACCCCUACACAAGCAACACAUGCAAGAUGACACAAGUGUGCAUACUUACACCUCUAGACCUCAUUAAUGUUUACAAAAAGAUUUAAUUACCCUUUUUAGCACCAAGUUGCCCUUGGUGAAGUGAAACUGUCACCUAUCAAAUAAGACUUUUCUUACCUGCAGCCAAUCAGAAGCUGUGCCUGACAAGUGACCUUGCUGCCGAGCAGCUGAUUGGCUUUGUCAGAACUGUCAAUCUCUUCAAGACCCUGACAGGAUAAACAGAGCAGAGAUAUGCACAUAGACACAGACAAAGGAGAUGCAGGAGGAAUGUGAGAGAAUGGAAACAAAGACAGAAAAGGAUAGAUGAGAGAGACAGAAAACUGGAAGGAGAUGGAGGCCAGCCUUGAACCAUAAUGGCUCUUCAUUGGUUCAAAUGUACAAGUGACAGUGCUGCUGUUUUGGCUCUCUUGGAUGAAUGGGGAUGGGUGGUAAGCGGCAGGCGAUGGAUGGGUUGGAGAACAGAACAAGAACAGAGAUUUGCAGUGCAUUGCAAAACAGCAAAGAGCAGCAGCAGUGACACGGGGGUUAUAAAUAGAUCUCCAUAUAUAGAGCCAGAGGCUACCUGGCUGGCGGAGGCCGAGCACUCGCUACAGUAA